rnacentral:lncRNA from 1 species
AUCGACACAAAUGUUCAUUAGAGAUAUUGGUCUGAAGUUUUCUUUUGUGUGUGUUUGUCUCUGUUAGGUUUUGGUAUCAGAAUGAUACUGGCCUCAUAGAAUAAGUUAGGGAGAAGUCCCUCCUCCUCAAUCCUCAGUUUUUGGAAUAGUUUCGGGAGAUUGGUCCGUAAGCUUCAGAAGCCAGUGAUCCUGACUGCCAAGUGAUUUGCCAAAGGAAGUUAUGGAAAGGAUUAUGCUUUUUGGAGGAAACUUAGAUAAAACAUAACAGUUACUACUUUUGUAAAAAAAAAAUAAGCUGGCAAUUUAGGUAAGUACCUGGUUUACAAAAUAUAAACUGAGAUCAGUUAGCUUCAUC